rnacentral:rRNA from 1 species
AUACGUAGGUGACAAGCGUUAUCCGGAUUUACUGGGCGUAAAGGGCGUGUAGGCGGUCUUGCAAGUCAGAAGUGAAAUUCCUGAGCUCAACUCGGGCGCUGCUUCUGAAACUGCAGGACUUGAGUGCUGGAGGGGAUAGCGGAAUUCCUAGUGGAGCGGUAAAAUGCGCAGAUAUUAGGAAGAACACCGGUGGCGAAGGCGGCAAUCUGGACAGUAACUGACGCUGAGGCGCGAAAGCGUGGGGAGCAAACAGGAUUAGAUACCCCGGUAGUCCACGCCGUAAACGAUGAAUACUAGGUGUAGGGGGUAUCGACUCCCUCUGUGCCGCAGUUAACACAAUAAGUAUUCCGCCUGGGGAGUACGGCCGCAAGGUUGAAACUCAAAUGAAUUGACGGGG